AUAAUAAUAAUGCGCCCCGCAGGGCAUCUGAGGCGGAUGACGGGGAGUAGCGACCCCGCGGGGCUAUAUAUCCGAGUGCUCCAGGGAGAGUAUACUGUCCCCCAUCUCCGGCUUGCCGGAGUGAAGCAUGACGGGGGAUAGGUCUCCCGCCUCUUGGCUUGCCUUCACCGGCCGGUCAGAGUGGAGUCGCUAGAGCAAGGUUAGUCCUGCUCGGAGGGUAGGUGCCUCGUGGUAAGUGGCGAGUGGGCCGGUGAUGCUGGACCCACAGGGAGCGCGUGAUCUGCGUUUAAAGUCCGCCGAGGUAUCCUCACCCUUCUCAGCCGCUCAUGUCCCUGUUGCCCUCUUGUUGCUUUUCAGUGACUGAUUCCCGGGGGCCCAGUAAGUGAGUUGGCGAGUCUCCACCUGCCAUUUUUACGUGUAUUUAUUACAUUGUUAUCGGCAGGUGCCAUAGUUCCCGUAGUUUCCCCAUUCCUAGUCCAUUAGCAUCCCAUCACAAUAGCCCAAGUAGUUUUCAUCCAUAGUUAGCAAUAGUUUAGCACAGAACCGGGGAUUGUCCUUGGGUACAUUUCUAUAGUGUAUACAGGGAUAAUCGUCGGUUUUGUGUCACCAUUUCAUUAAAGUUGUCUCAAAAGGGCUUCAGCGUGUUGGCUUCGGCCCCACGUUCGCCUCCCAAAAAUCCGGGACUCUAUAGUCCCGAGGUCUGGUAGAGACAUACAUAUAAUAAUAA
rnacentral:lncRNA from 1 species